rnacentral:rRNA from 1 species
GACGAACGCUGGCGGCGUGCCUAAUACAUGCAAGUAGAACGCACAGUUUAUACCGUAGCUUGCUACACCAUAGACUGUGAGUUGCGAAAGGGUGAGUAACGCGUAGCUAACCUGCCUGGUAGCUGGGGAUAACUAUUGGUAACGCUAGCUAAUACCGCAUAAUAUUAAUUAUUGCAUGAUAAUUAAUUGAAAGGUGCAAUUGAACCACUACCAGUUGGACUUGCGUUGUAUUAGCUAGUAGGUGAGGUAAUGGCUCACCUAGGCGAGGAUACGUAGCCGCACUGAGAGGGUGAGCGGCCACCCUGGGACUGUGACAGGGCCCAGUGGGACACGGGAACGAGCAAGAGGGCAUCUUCGGCCAUGGACGAGAGUCUGACCGAGCUACGCCGCGGGCGGGAAGAAGAUUGUCGGAUCGGAAAGCUCGGUUGUCAGAGAGGAACCGGUGUGAGAGUGGAAAGUACACAGUGUGACGGUAUCUGACCAGAAAGGGACGGCUAACUACGUG